GUUGCCACUGCUUGCUUAUAAGGGAAUCAUGUGUGUUGCCCUUUUUUGCCUUUUCCGACGUCCUCCUCCGACUGUACUCCCAGGACUGAACUUACGGGAAGGAGUGCUUCCAAGAUGGGAGACGAAGAAGAAGAAACCGCUGAAUCCGGCGGCAAUGGCUGGGAUGCUGCGUUCUCGAGAAGAAGCGUUAUUUCUGCAUUCCAAGAAGGACGGCACAAUGUGUCGGACUGUCCGCGUCGCAUUGAACUGGUCCGAUGAGGCUGCUAUUGCACACACAGUGAGGGAACUCCCAUACGGGAACUCGGAAGUACUGCUACAGUGCAGGUA